AUUGAACGCUGGCGGCAGGCCUAACACAUGCAAGUCGAGCGGAUGAAGGGGGCUUGCUCCUGGAUUCAGCGGCGGACGGGUGAGUAAUGCCUAGGAAUCUGCCUGGUAGUGGGGGAUAACGUCCGGAAACGGGCGCUAAUACCGCAUACGUCCUGAGGGAGAAAGUGGGGGAUCUUCGGACCUCACGCUAUCAGAUGAGCCUAGGUCGGAUUAGCUAGUUGGUGGGGUAAAGGCCUACCAAGGCGACGAUCCGUAACUGGUCUGAGAGGAUGAUCAGUCACACUGGAACUGAGACACGGUCCAGACUCCUACGGGAGGCAGCAGUGGGGAAUAUUGGACAAUGGGCGAAAGCCUGAUCCAGCCAUGCCGCGUGUGCGAAGAAGGUCUUCGGAUUGUAAAGCACUUUAAGUUGGGAGGAAGGGCAGUAAGUUAAUACCUUGCUGUUUUGACGUUACCAACAGAAUAAGCACCGGCUAACUUCGUG
rnacentral:rRNA from 1 species